GGAAUUGACGGGGACCCGCACCAAGCGGUGGAUGAUGUGGAUUAAUUCGAUGCAACGCGAAAAACCUUACCUACCCUUGACAUGGUCGGAACCUGGCUGAAAGGNUGGGGUGCUCGAAAGAGAACCGAUACACAGGUGCUGCAUGNCUGUCGUCAGCUCGUGUCGUGAGAUGUUGGGUUAAGUCCCGCAACGAGCGCAACCCUUGUCCUUAGUUGUUACGCAAGAGCACUCUAAGGAGACUGCCGGUGACAAANCCGGAGGAAGGUGGGGAUGACGUCAAGUCCUCAUGGCCCUUAUGGGUAGGGCUUCAUCAGCGUCAUACAAUGGUCGGAACAGAGGGCUGCCAACUCCGUGAGGGGGAGCUAAUCCCAGAAAACCGAUCGUAGUCCGGAUCGUAGUCUGCAACUCGAGCUAGCGUGAAGUCUGGAAUCGCUAGUAAUCGCGGAUCAGCAU
rnacentral:rRNA from 1 species